UGUUUGAUAUAUGAACUAACUGGCAUUGGAAGGUUGGAACUUGGAAGGCUAUGAACUAACUGGCAUUGGAAGGUUGGAACUUGGAAGGCACUCAAGUAUCAGGAACAGUCACUGCGACUGUAGACAAAAAACGUCGUUGCUUCAACGACCUAUACUGGGAAAUUUCAGUUCCAGCUAAGGGCGCGUUCGUUUUCAGCGGAUCAGCUCAUUCCGGACCUUAUUCCGGGUGAAACCAAUGCACCUGGUUUAGAAUUUGGUACAGCCCAUUAAAAGUGUUCGUUUUGGCCCGAACUGGAAUUGAAACUGGCCCGGAUUAAAAUUUCCCUUCACGCCACGGCCUGGAACCAACCCUUGUGUCGUACCCUCCGGAUCGAAGCCUGGACGACGCGACUGGCACGGCGGCGGCGCACAGCCCCGACGACGACCCUCCCCGCUGCCUUCUCCCCGAUCUCUACGACACCAAUUAUAGAUGGGGAAGGUGAACCUCCUCCCUCUUGAGAUCCUGUACCAACUCCAAAAAGUAUUAAAUUCUUUGUACGUGUAUAUGGUUUACUUUAGUCCUUAUUACUUGUACUUUUGAAAUAAUACAUGAUUUGCUUUAAGUCUAUUUUAUUAUUUAGCUUCUAUCUGACAAAAAAUAUAUAUUCUUUAGUUCUACACUCAGAUGAGACAGGCGAGGUUAAGGUUCGACGACUCCUCGAGGGACAUGCCAAGAACUAUCAAGUUACAUUGUUGUUUAUUUUCCCUGUCUUAUUGGGAAGCAAAGUAUUGGAAAAAACUGCAUUUAUUUGAUGAUCCACUAGAAGUUUAGGCUAUGUCCCACUCGAGUCUUUAU